rnacentral:rRNA from 1 species
GACGAACGCUGGCGGCGUGCUUAACACAUGCAAGUCGAACGGAAAGGCCCUGCUUUUGUGGGGUGCUUGAGUGGCGAACGGGUGAGUAACACGUGAGUAACCUGCCCUUGACUUUGGGAUAACUUCAGGAAACUGGGGCUAAUACCGGAUAGGAGCUCCUGCUGCAUGGUGGGGGUUGGAAAGUUUCGGCGGUUGGGGAUGUACUCGCGGGUUAUCAGCUUGUUGGUGGGGUAGUGGCUUACCAAGGCUUUGACGGGUAGCCGGCCUGGGAGGGUGACCGGCCACAUUGGGACUGAGAUACGGCCCAGACUCCUACGGGAGGCAGCAGUGGGGAAUAUUGCACAAUGGGCGGAAGCCUGAUGCAGCAACGCCGCGUGCGGGAUGACGGCCUUCGGGUUGUAAACCGCUUUCGCCUGUGACGAAGCGUGAGUGACGGUAAUGGGUAAAGAAGCACCGGCUAACUACGUG